GAUGAACGCUGGCGGCGUGCCUAAUACAUGCAAGUCGAGCGAACAGACGAGGAGCUUGCUCCUCUGACGUUAGCGGCGGACGGGUGAGUAACACGUGGAUAACCUACCUAUAAGACUGGGAUAACUUCGGGAAACCGGAGCUAAUACCGGAUAAUAUACUGAACCGCAUGGUUCAAUAGUGAAAGACGGUUUUGCUGUCACUUAUAGAUGGAUCCGCGCCGCAUUAGCUAGUUGGUAAGGUAACGGCUUACCAAGGCAACGAUGCGUAGCCGACCUGAGAGGGUGAUCGGCCACACUGGAACUGAGACACGGUCCAGACUCCUACGGGAGGCAGCAGUAGGGAAUCUUCCGCAAUGGGCGAAAGCCUGACGGAGCAACGCCGCGUGAGUGAUGAAGGUCUUCGGAUCGUAAAACUCUGUUAUUAGGGAAGAGCAAAUGUGUAAGUAACUAUGCACGUCUUGACGGUACCUAAUCAGAAAGCCACGGCUAACUACGUG
rnacentral:rRNA from 1 species